rnacentral:rRNA from 1 species
GACGAAGGAUGCAAGCGUUAUCCGGAUUCAUUGGUUUAAAGGGUGCGUAGGCGGCCCUGUAAGUCAGUGGUGAAAUCUCUCAGCUUAACUGAGAAACUGCCCAUUGAUACUGCAGGGCUUGAGUACAGAUGAUGUUGGCGGAAUAUGACAUGUAGCGGUGAAAUGCAUAGAUAUGUCAUAGAACACCGAUGGCGAAGGCAGGUCUCUGGGCAUUAACUGACGCUGAGGAGCGAAAGCAUGGGGAGCGAACAGG